ensembl:lncRNA
UUAAUGCAGCACCAAACAAUGUGCUCAAGAUGCAACUGAAACUUAAAUUCAGUUUCCAGUUCCAGAAAAAUGAAAGGAGUGCAUGCAGCCAAUAAUCCACUGUAUUUGUUAAAUAAUAUUUCAGUAAGCAAAUACUAUGUAUUUAGUAAUGCCUUAAUAAAGAAUCAAAUAUGAUAAGAUGUUUCUUUAUAGUGCCAUAUAGUUUUCUGUUUGCAGUAUUAAAAGAUUGUACAUAAUUAACUCAUUAUGUUGCUGGUAUUUUUGCAGGUAUUUCAGAAAUAACAGCAUCAGUGAAUCCUGCACUCAGUUCUGAUCCAGAUGUUGUAGUCUCAUGUUCAGCCACUGGUAAACCAACUCCAACUAUCCACUGGAAAUCUGCAGAGAAAGAGCUGGACAACUUUAGGUCAAGUAAUUUUACAACUCUCAACAAAGACAGCUCAACCACCAUUACAAGCAACCUCACGCUUCCACUGUCACAGUUUCAUGGGGAGUAUGUGGAAUGUGUGGCUCAGAGUGACAGCAUGGAGAAGAGCAGCCAAAUCACUUUGCCUAAAGUACAUUCUAAAGUGAACGCUACACCAAGAAGUUACAUCAUUACAGUUUCAGUCCUCAUCAUCAUGGCUGUUGUGGUUAUUGUCAUUAUGGUCAUCUGUUUUCACACCAGACUAAAGAGAGCCACUUUUGGGAUAAAAUCUACUUAUGAGGAACCCCUUAAGGAGGAAUGUUAACUCUACAGCUACCUUAUAGUAGUAUGCAAUUUUGCUCAUGACCUUUUGCUCAUGACCUGGUUCUAGCCUGUGUGUUCCUUAAAGGAAUCAUGAAUUUCCUGUCUAGUAUUUAUUUAAUUUAUUUAUUUAUGUUUACAUUACUGUAUAGUAUUCCAUUGCAUUAAUACAGUUAAAUAUAUAAUAUUUUACCACUAUGUAAGCGUAUUUUGACCACAGAGAAUAAUAUGGAUGGAUGAUAUUCAUACUGUAACUUUAGAUUUUCAUGCUUAUACAUUAGCAUUUUAUGACUCAGAUUAAUGUACUGCCAUACACUAAAUUGUUUUUAAUUGUGUCUUCUUCUUUUGAGUCUAACGGUGAUUUAUAAAUUCAGAAAUGCAAGCUCUAUAUAAGUCUUGAUGUUGUGGUAUGGUAUUGUGUUGAGCAAUGACAGAGAUUUGGGGAAGAAAAAUAUUGUUACCCAAUACAGAUAAGCUAAAGGCUGAGAAACCUAGUUUUCAGCAGUGUGAAAUAAAGUGAAAGUUAUGUCAUUAAUGGAAGCAGAAGCUGUUUUGUGGUUUCCUCCACGAAACUCUAAAGGCUGUACAGAGAGAUGACUGCUAUUGUUAGUAUUUAUACUAUUUUUAUUUGUUGACUGCAGCAAGCUUGCUAAAAGUAAGUGUAUCAAUAUGUCAGGAAUGACUGUAAAGUAAAUCAUAAAAGGAUAAACACAUUUUUGUUUCUGAAAAGAUUUCUGUGUGAUAUGUAUGUAUGAAUAUGUAUGUUACAGUAUAUGUCUAACAUGUUAAUGCAGGUUAUGCAAUUGCACUGAAUUAAAAAAUGUGAACUGUUGGAUUCAUGACUGGAUUACUUACUAACAUUUCUAUACUCUGUACUUCUACCAAAUGUGUAAACCCAAAAAGGAGAGAGAAAAAAACAAAAACAGGAAAAACACAGAAAAUAGGGCACAUAAAUGAUGUCAACAAAUUCAUGUGAUGCAUAUAUAUAUAUAUAUAUAUAUGACAUGACUAAAAAAUAUCAUAUGACAAGAUUUCUAAAAAUCUUGUCAUAAAAAAUUCUGACUUAUACGUGACUGCUGAUUUUGAAAGAAACAGAGGAAGUUAUUCAAGUAGUGAUCAGAAAGGGGCCCUUUGUCUGGUUUAGCUGAAAAUGACACUUAAAAUUUAAAGCUGUAAGCAGUAAAAGUUGAGGCAUGAAUCUUGUACAAGAUGAACCUACUGUGUAGCUAAAUACUGUAUGUGCCUAUUCUGCAUUUAUCACAACUUGCAGUAUCAAACCACCUCCAGUGAAAUCCGGAUUAAGUUCAUUUAGAAUUUUUGUUCUCUCAAAUGACCAACUCAAAACUUUCAAACAGCACUUUACUCCUUUUUUGUUUUUUCAGCAGUCAUGUGGUCUGUGAUUGUCUGACUUGAGUGCUGCAUCUGCAAAGUUUAAAGGAAGCUGUCGAUACACAUGUAGUGAUAUAUAAUCAUAACUGUAGCCAGCUAUGAGUUCACCAUAUAAAUGUCUGCAUGUAUAAUUCAGUUUAGACAGUUUGCAAGAAUAAUUAGCGUCCUUGGUAUAAAAACUAUCACUGCAAGUCUCUGGCGGAGUGAACGAAUCUUGAGGGCGCGGGCGCAACCUCCGUGUUGCCAGAUCCAUAGAUUAUAGACGUUUUUGGACUUGUCUUUUCCACUUAAUUUGAAAGUUAAUAGAGUGGGAAGUUUUAAUAUAGGGUCAGCGAUAUACAUAUUAGUAUAUCUUAUUUGCAAAAUAUUUGAAAUAAUUUUGAAAUAAUAUCUGGCAACACUGCAUCGCCGGCACUAAAACUGACCGUUAUCAAAAGAGCCCAUGGACAUGUUAGCUAUUGCUGACAGGAUAGCACAUUAGGUAAGGGAAACGCAAAAAAAUAUCAUGAAAGUGAAAGUUGUGACAUUUGCCAAGUAUGGUAACCCAUACUCAGAAUGGGUGCUCUGCAUUUAACCCAUCCAAGUGCACAAACACAGCAGUGAGAAGUGAACACACUGUGAACACACACCCGGAGCAGUGGGCAGCUAUAUCCAGAACCUGCGACCUCCGGGUUACAAGUCCAACCCUCUAACCAUUAGGCAACAGCUGCCCCCAAUAUUAUCUAUUAGAAACGUUAUCAACAUAAUCAAAAACAGUAUCAUUUAACACUUGUGCACACAGAUCUGUUGAACAAGUAGGUUACAGAAUGAAACGAAAUACACAAACACUAGCCAUAAAGAAGAUAUGCUAUUUUAUUUAGUAGUCAUUACAUUUUCACAAAGUCAUGCUAAAAACAUCCAUAAGAGCACUGGACAAAGUUAUCAUAGAGCAAUGAUUAUUAAUGAAAACUACCUGUUGCGACCGGUUUAUAUGCUUACGUCAUUUAUGACCUUACUUCGAUAAAAGAAAAUGGGUUACCGCGUUUACAUGACCAAGUGUG